CGGGGGGAGCAAGCGUUGUUCGGAUUUACUGGGCGUAAAGGGCGCGUAGGCGGCCAGCACAAGUCAGUUGUGAAAUCUCCGGGCUUAACUCGGAAAGGUCAACUGAUACUGUGCGGCUAGAGUGCAGAAGGGGCAACUGGAAUUCUCGGUGAAGCGGUGAAAUGCGUAGAUAUCGAGAGGAACACCUGCGGCGAAGGCGGGUUGCUGGGCUGACACUGACGCUGAUGCGCGAAAGCCAGGGGAGCGAACGGGAUUAGAUACCCCGGUAGUCCUGGCCUUAAACGAUGGAUGCUUGGUGUCUGGAGUUUUAUAGUCUCCGGGUGCCGUAGCUAACGCGUUAAGCAUCCCGCCUGGGGAGUACGGUCGCAAGACUG
rnacentral:rRNA from 1 species